rnacentral:misc_RNA from 1 species
GAAAUGCGAUAAGUAAUGUGAAUUGCAGAAUUCAGUGAAUCAUCGAAUCUUUGAACGCACAUUGCGCCCGCCAGUAUUCUGGCGGGCAUGCCUGUUCGAGCGUCAUUUCAACCAUCAAGCCCCGGGCUUGUGUUGGGGACCUGCGGCUGCCGCAGGCCCUGAAAACCAGUGGCGGGCUCGCUGUCACACCGAGCGUAGUAGAUUCUCAUCUCGCUCAGGGCGUGCUGCGGGUUCCGGCCGUAAAACAGCCUUAUUUUACCCAAGGUUGACCUCGGAUCAGGUAGGAAAACCCGCUGAACUUAAGC